AUGCAUACAAUUGCAUUUAAAGCCGGUGAAAAUCUAGAAGAAGUUGUCGCUCGACCAUCUUCAUCCAGGUCCUUGCUUACCGAGUACUUUAAGAUGAACCGGAGGAUUCCGCAAGCACGGAAAUUAUUGUACAGAGAGUUUCCAAAGCAUUAUAGAUGGAUAGCUGGAAAAAAGAAGUGGCAGAAGAGAAGAAAUAAUAGAUCAUAGAUUGGAAGACUUGUGUAUGCACACCCUGCUGAAGGAGAGAGGUACUACUUGCAUGUGCUGCUAAGUCAUGUUUGAGGUGCCACUUCAUUUGAUGAUUUAAAAACAGUAAAUGGCAACCUAUGCAUUUCCUUCAGAGAGGCAUGUGAGCACUUAGGCCUCAUUGAACAAGACAAGAUUCUUGAUGAUUGCAUGAUAGAGGCAGCCACAUUUCAGAUCCCUUGUGCACUAAGACGGUUGUUUGCGACUAUAUUGGUAUUUUGCGAGGCAACAGAAAUCCAACAAUUGUGGGGGAAACAUCUACCAUCAAUGUGUGAGGACUACCAUCGUAAUGAAUCCAAUGAGUCCGUACUUGAGCAGAUGGUCCUUAGAGAUAUUAGGGAUAUGUUGCAAUCCACGGGAAAGGAUAUUAAAAGCUAUGGACUUCCGGAUGUGGUUGAGAUCGAUGGUUCUCAUGACGGUGAGUACAGAGAGGUAAUAGAGGAGAGGAAAAUCACCGCGGACAAAGAACAUUUUGAUCUAUUUAGCAGUUUGAACAAUGAGCAACUAGCUGGUUUCAAUGACAUAAUGGAUCAUGUGAUGAACAAAAAGAGCCAGAUAUUCUUUGUUGAUGGUCCAGGUGGCACUGGGAAGACAUACCUAUACAAGGCAUUGUUUGCUAAGGUGUGUUCCAUGGGCCAAAUAGCGAUCGCAACUGCUACAUCUGGUACUGCAGCGUCAAUAAUGCCUGGAGGACGGACAUCACACUACUGUUUCAAAAUUCUAAUCAAGCUCACUAACAAAAGUAUGCGCAGUUUCACAAAACAGAGUGGUACAAUGGAGUUGCUUAGAGAAGCGUCCUUGAUAAUUUAGGAUGAAGUCGAUAUGACAAAACAUCAAGCAGUUGAGACGCUUGAUAGAUCACUACAUGAUAUAAUGGAUUGUUCUUUGCCAUUUGGAGGAAAGGUUGUCGUCUUUGGUGGUGAUUUCAGGAAGGUCCUACCCGUUGUGACACGUGGGACAAGAGCACAUAUCACGGAUGCUACACUUCUGAAAUACCUCCUAAGGAUAGGCAAUGGAACUAAAGAGACAAUUGGCGACGACUAUGUCCGUCUCCCUGAUGACAUUGUCAUUAGCUAUACGGAGGAUGAAAAAGCUAUUAACAUGUUCAUCGAAGAUGUCUUCCCAUUGUUACAUGCCAAUGCUACAUCGAGAGAGUACAUUAGUGCACAUGUUAUUCUUUCGACCAAGAACGAUCACAUUGAUGACCUAAAUGACAAGAUGAUCUCUAGGUUUCCAGGUGAAGAAAAGUUAUACCAUAGUUUUGACUCAAUCGAGGAUGACCUGCAGAAUAACUACACAAUUGAUUUUUUGAACUCGAUCACACCCAAUGGCUUGCCCCCGCAUGUUUUGAAAUUAAAGGUCAACUGCCCGGUCAUUCUGCUCUGGAACCUCGACCCUCAUAAUGGUCUAUGUAAUGGAACACAUCUUAUGGUUAGAGCCUUUUAG
rnacentral:rRNA from 1 species